CAGGUGUAGCGUAUGAGAAGGGAAGAGAUGGGCUACAUUCACUAACAUAGUGAAUACGAAUAGUAUAUUGAAACAUAUACUUGAAGGAGGAUUUAGCAGUAAGCAGGAAAUAGAGUGUUCUGCUGAAGCCGGCUCUUAAGCGCGUACAUACCGCCCGUCACCCUCGCCAAGCCCUACCAAUUAUUUUUUCUAAAUCACUUAUAAAGCUAAGGAGAGGAAAGUCGUAACAUGGUAAGCGUACCGGAAGGUGUGCUUGGAUAAUC
rnacentral:rRNA from 1 species